GAUGAACGCUGGCGGCGUGCCUAAUACAUGCAAGUCGAGCGAACAGAUGAGGAGCUUGCGCGCCUGACGGUAUCGGCGGACGGGUGAGUAACACGUGGAUAACAUACCUAUAAGACUGGGGUAACAUCGGGAAAUCGGAUCUAAGAACGGAUAAUUUAUUGAACCGGAUGGGUCCAGAGUGAAAGACGGUUUUGGUUUCACUAAUAGAUGGAUAAGCGCCGCAUUAGUUAGUUGGUAAGGUGACGGCUUAACAAGGCAACGAUGGGUAACCGACCUGAGAGGGUGAUCGGCCACCCUGGAACUGAGACACGGUCCACACUCCUACGGUAGGCAGCAGUCGAGAAUCUUCCGCAAUGGGGGAAAGCCUGACAGAGCACCGCCGCGUGAGUGAUGAAGGUCUUCGGCUCGUAAAGCUAUGUUAUUAGGGAAGAACUAAAGUGUUAGUACCUAUGCUCGUCUUGACGGUACCUAAACAAAAAGCCCCGGCUAACUCCGUG
rnacentral:rRNA from 1 species